CACAAACGGACAAUUCAAUUUUAAAUUAGCUGACGAAGAGAAUGGAGCUUGUUCUUUUUAGUCUCGAGAAUAAUCUCAUUCCAUGGUAAUGGAGAUUGGAAGUAGGCAAAAUCUAGUAUAAUAAGUUACAGCAUGGGCCAUGAUUUCAAGUUACCUCAUUCAGCCAUUGCUGAAAGAUGUUUUUAUUUAAACAAGUUGUUUGAUGUGUGAAUGAUAGAGGUCCAUGUGUAUGAUGGUUCAACCUAUUUGCAACCUGGGUUGGAAAAUGAUAGAUUGGCAAUAACAAGAUCAAUGUAAGAGAGAUAUGAUGGCCAUAUUGCUGGCUGAAGAUGAGACAGUUUAUACUAUGACAGGUGUUCAUAUUCAAAAAAGGCGAAUCAUAACUAUGGUUGAUUUUAUACGAAAUGUCUACACCAGUGUAGUUUUAUAAUCUACAUUUUAUUUGGUGAAACACGGGACGAUUAGAAAGGUGAACCUUUAUCUUAAAAAAAACACUGCCAUACAAGAUGGUUCUCAACAAGUCUUUUGGGUGGCUAGUAAUUGUUUAAGUUACUUUGCUGCUGGUUGGUGUGUAAAUCUAUAAUCAAUAUCUAAAUUGCCAAAAAUGACUAAAAACGAUUCGAAUUGCAAUUCCAGCAUUAUUUUGAGUAACCAAGGCCCGAGCUAAUUUAUCCAAUACUACCGAAUAGCACCAAAUACUACCAAAUACUAUAACCACGUACUACCCCAAUAUUGUGAAAAACUAACAGAAUACUUCAAUUAUAUUAAACAAAAAUUGAGUUAAUUUGUGGAAAACUUGCAAAAAUGUGUGGCAAAAGUGAUGGCCAAUGUCUCAAUGUUCCCAUUAUCUCCCUAGAUCACCCAAUACUAACAAAAUAUUAACCCAUACUAUCAGAAAUCAUUCCAUUUCUGUAAAAUAGCGAACAAUUUUGUCAGUUUCAGAUAAUAAUAAUAAUGUUAGUUUGUGGUUAAAUUUUGUAGCAUUGGGUUAGAAUUGGGAGAUGUUUGGUCAUAUUUGGCUAGUUAUUCAGAUGCUUGAGCUACAGGAUACUGAUGCUAUAA